ACAAACCACAUUUUUCGCAUGCUUUGUAAUUUUUUUCAAGCGUAAGAUAACAUAGCUUAAUUUUUUCAACAAGUUCAUUAUCACGCAAUUCUAACCUGAAAAGACGUUUUUGACCAACAAUUACGAGUACACAAAAAACUCGGUGCUCUCCGGCAUUGUUUGAAGAUGGAAGUAAAAAAUGGUUUUUAUAGGAUGUGAUAUUUGCGAUUUAGUAGAAUUUCAUUCUCAUGUUGAUACCAAAAAGAGACUACCAAUGAUGCAUUGGAAAUUAUUAAAGAAAUAGUAAAAUAAUAAGUAAAUAAAAAAAAUAUUGGGUUAAGUAUAUCAUCCAAUUCUUAAGAGUUCAGCCCAAAUCGUUGAAAUACGUAUCCGUAUCUAAACCCAAACUGCUUUGAACAGUCGAAUCGGUUGGUUAAAAUGAGAAUUUGAAACCACCGCGUUGCGGCACUUAUCUGUCCAUGGGCCCUUGUCAACAUUUUUCACCUUAGCUUCAAAAGCCCUGUAUUAUCAUGCAAGGCCGCAAUAUAUCUAGUACCUAUAUGACUGCGUGAAGUUCCGGUCGUAGUCGACUGCAAAACGUUUUAAAUGGAAGACCCUAUAUAUUCGAUACUUAAAAUUCUAUAGUAACACACAUUGUUUCCACUAAUUUCAAUAGGUUCUCAGACAUCUUGGUAAAAACAAACAUAUUUUUUUACUAUAAUCCCCUCUGUCCAUAUCAGUUCAAAACCACAAAUUUAUAUCACAGCGAUUCUGCGCAUUAAGAAAAUGUGAAACAAAUAAAAUAAAGGGUAACGUCAGUGCUUUGAUAAAAAUUAUUCUGGGAUAUCAUUAAGCUCAGACUUUUACAUCACAGACGUUUGGCAUCAAUUUAAAAACUUGACUACAACUGUUCAUUUUUCAUUACAGCUUGGAGCAUUUUAUCUUACAGGUGCAAGUGACUAAGAAAAAUUGUUGCAAUGUUGCAAUAUGGUCUGGAGUUCCGGGGUGUCUGCGUCUACAGUUCUCCGGGGCGCGUGGGUUUACCGCUCCAGAGAGUGAGAAACUAAACUGUAAGAUAAAAUAUUUUAAGAACGGCCACUGAGAGAAUGAAUGAACACUGUCAAAAUUAUGAACAUGAAGCUGUAGAGACUAGUUCCGUAACACUUAUAGUGACUAAUAAUUAAAAUUUAUUUAUACGAAGAUAACCACCUACGUCGCUAUCAGAAGAAAAUUCGACUAGUUCAGAGGUUAAUAAUACACUGGAAUUGAAAGAAAUAGUGGAUGAAUAAUGAAAGAAAUAAAAAUGAAAACCCUGGAGCAUUACCAAGGAUUAUUUUAAGAUGUGAAUGCAUAUUCUAUUGCCAUUGAUAAAUCGUGAGGUUCAAGGACUUUUCGGAAAAUAAAAACAUAGAUCAAAGUCAAAAAAGUCAUCGUUCAAAUAUUUGUGCUUUGAUUGGCUUGGUGUCAAUAUUGAAUUUCAAUAUCAGUGAUAUAUUUGGGAGGUUCUUUUGUGAGCAAGAUAGGAUUGAAGACAUAUAGUAGUGUAGUUGUGUAUAGUGAAUAGUAAUGUGACUUUGUAUUUUGGGUUCCAUUGUGUUUUACGUUUACGUAACUUUUUUUAUAUAUAAUUUUACCGUCGCCGUUUGACGAAUACAAAUAAUUGUAUAAGAUUUUAAAGCAAUAUGAUUCAACACGGAUUUCAAACAAUGGUCAAGAAAUACAGUCAAUACAUAUUCUGGUAACCAGUAUAUCAACAGUGCCCGAAAUAUAUAUAUUAUUAUCAACAAAAGUCUAUUCCAAUAUUUACGUUAAUUUCCGAUUAAAUUGAUUUUCAGACUAUUUCGGAACAAAAUUCAACUAAAACUAAGUAAAGCCAUGUAUAUUUCGAGCACUGAAAAUACUUUUUUUUCGGCUACUUUUGAUAAAUAGGUGUUUAACCACAAUAGAUAUGUAAUAUAUACACUGUACUUUAUUAAAUAUUUACAAAUUACCUAUUUUUCCAUUCGGUUAGUUAGCUUUUCAAAACUUUUUACAAUUAGUAAUAUUUCUUUAGAACCUUAACAUGCAAUUAAGGACAGCCUAUACAAUCCAUUCACAAGCUUUACAUUUUUCUUUUCUAGUGCUCCUAAUAGUGUUAAACUACCACCAUCACCAAAAUGAGAAAAAAAAACAUAUUCAUAUUCUGCAAGUUUUUUUGAGUAUAUUCUCAAGCUCGUAAUAAUAAUUCUUGUUAAGUAUUCUUGCUUUGGCAUUAUUUUACA